CGAACGCUGGCGGCGCGCCUAACACAUGCAAGUCGAACGGAGUUAUUUUCUUCACUCCGAGCUUUUUGCCAGUUAGCCGGAGCGGCAAUCGGUUUUGCCCAGCAUAAAAAGCAAAACCGAUUUAGGCUCAUAAAGUAAGACUAACACAGAGGGCAGAGAGUUGGGAGUGAAGAAAAUAACUUAGUGGCGAACGGGUGAGUAACGCGUGAGUAACCUGCCCUGGAGUGGGGGACAACAGUUGGAAACGACUGCUAAUACCGCAUAAGCCCACGGCCCGGCAUCGGGCUGCGGGAAAAGGAUUUAUUCGCUUCAGGAUGGACUCGCGUCCAAUUAGCUAGUUGGUGAGGUAACGGCCCACCAAGGCGACGAUUGGUAGCCGGACUGAGAGGUUGAACGGCCACAUUGGGACUGAGACACGGCCCAGACUCCUACGGGAGGCAGCAGUGGGGGAUAUUGCACAAUGGGGGAAACCCUGAUGCAGCGACGCCGCGUGGAGGAAGAAGGUUUUCGGAUUGUAAACUCCUGUCGUUAGGGACGAUAAUGACGGUACCUAACAAGAAAGCACCGGCUAACUACGUGCCAGCAGCCGCGGUAAAACGUAGGGUGCAAGCGUUGUCCGGAAUUACUGGGUGUAAAGGGAGCGCAGGCGGACCGGCAAAUUGGAAGUGAAAACUAUGGGCUCAACCCAUAAAUUGCUUUCAAAACUGCUGGCCUUGAGUAGUGCAGAGGUAGGUGGAAUUCCCGGUGUAGCGGUGGAAUGCGUAGAUAUCGGGAGGAACACCAGUGGCGAAGGCGACCUACUGGGCACCAACUGACGCUGAGGCUCGAAAGCAUGGGUAGCAAACAGGAUUAGAUACCCUGGUAGUCCAUGCCGUAAACGAUGAUUACUAGGUGUUGGAGGAUUGACCCCUUCAGUGCCGCAGUUAACACAAUAAGUAAUCCACCUGGGGAGUACGACCGCAAGGUUGCAACUCAAAGGAAUUGACGG
rnacentral:rRNA from 1 species